ensembl:rRNA 5S_rRNA 5S ribosomal RNA
GCCUACAGCCCUAGCACCCUGAAUGUACCAAAUCUCCUCUAAUCUCAGAAGCUAAGCAGGGUCGGCCCUGGUUAAUACAUGGAUGAGAGGUAGAAUAUUCCAGAGACUUAACGGGUUAUCUCUCAGAAGCUAGUCA